rnacentral:rRNA from 1 species
GGAUUAGAUACCCUGGUAGUCCUAGCUGUAAACGAUGGAUACUAGACGUAGGAACUGGAUUGACGGUUUCUGUGUCGCAGCUAACGCGUUAAGUAUCCCGCCUGGGGAGUACGGUCGCAAGACUAAAACUCAAAGGAAUUGACGGGGGCCCGCACAAGCAGUGGAGCAUGUGGUUUAAUUCGAUGCAACGCGAAGAACCUUACCAGGCCUUGACAUCCUCGGAGCUUUCUAGAGAUAGAUUGGUGCCUUCGGGAACCGAGUGACAGGUGCUGCAUGGCUGUCGUCAGCUCGUGCUG